CCAACGUGGAUAUCCUGUGAGGUUGCUCUCUCAGGCUCUGUCCUCGUGGCGUAUGGGAGCGUAGCAUCUUCUGGUGCUGUGAUGUACAGUCCCGUUCCACAACGUUGGAGAACAUGCAUGUCCCCAGCAUUUGUGCUGGUGUGGACAUCAUCCUGUAUAUUCCUAAAACUUCCCAGAGCUCUCGGGCUAUUACUGGGGAGAAAAACCAUGCAGGAUACAUAA